rnacentral:rRNA from 1 species
UACGAAGGGGGCUAGCGUUGCUCGGAAUCACUGGGCGUAAAGGGCGCGUAGGCGGCCAUUCAAGUCGGGGGUGAAAGCCUGUGGCUCAACCACAGAAUUGCCUUCGAUACUGUUUGGCUUGAGGACUGGAGAGGAGACUGGAAUUCAUGGUGUAGCAGUGAAAUGCGUAGAGAUCAUGAGGAAGACCAGUGGCGAAGGCGGGUCUCUGGACAGUUCCUGACACUGAGACACGAAGGCCAGGGGAGCAAACGGG